rnacentral:rRNA from 1 species
AUUGAACGCUGGCGGCAUGCCUUACACAUGCAAGUCGAACGGCAGCACGGGGCAACCUGGUGGCGAGUGGCGAACGGGUGAGUAAUGCAUCGGAACGUGCCAUUGAGUGGGGGGUAACGUAGCGAAAGUUGCGCUAAUACCGCAUAUUCUGUGAGCAGGAAAGCAGGGGGACCGCAAGGCCUUGCGCUCUUUGAGCGGCCGAUGUCAGAUUAGCUAGUUGGUGAGGUAACGGCUUACCAAGGCGACGAUCUGUAGCGGGUCUGAGAGGAUGAUCCGCCACACUGGAACUGAGACACGGUCCAGACUCCUACGGGAGGCAGCAGUGGGGAAUUUUGGACAAUGGGCGCAAGCCUGAUCCAGCCAUGCCGCGUGAGUGAAGAAGGCC